GAAAAUGAGGGACAGAAGAACAAUCUGUUGCUUCAUACAAGACCAGAGGUGACAAAGAUGAUUUAGGCGAGAUAUCGUUUCAGUCGUCAUUUCUUUCGAUUGACGAUUCGAUUGUUGCUCGUCGACAU